CUGGAUUUUCAGUCGGAUGGUCUCAUAGAGAUUUAUCAUCUGAUUGGUGCAGCACUGCAUUUUGCUGCAAAAGCUCACUAGUUUCCUAAUGGAAAAGCGUUAGAUUGGCUGAGAUCACCAAGGAGGUGUGCCAACAGGACAUAGACCAGCGAAAGGUAAGUACAUUUCAAACUUUAAGAUCAUGAUUAUUACAGAUCAUUU